GGGGAAUUUUCCGCAAUGGGCGAAAGCCUGACGGAGCAAUACCGCGUGCGGGAGGACGCUUUUUGGAGUGUAAACCGCUUUUCUCAAGGAAGAUGAUGACGGUACUUGAGGAAUCAGCAUCGGCUAACUUCGUGCCAGCAGCCGCGGUAAUACGAGGGAUGCAAGCGUUAUCCGGGAUUAUUGGGCGUAAAGCGUUCGUAGGUGGCUAAGUCAGUCUGUUGUCAAAACGUGGAGCUUAACUCCAUACCGGCAAUGGAAACUGCUUGGCUAGAGUAUGGUAGGGGUAACAGGAAUUCCCAGUGUAGCGGUGAAAUGCGUAGAUAUUGGGAAGAACACCAGCGGCGAAAGCGUGUUACUGGGCCAUUACUGACACUGAGGGACGAAAGCUAGGGGAGCGAAAGGGAUUAGAUACCCCUGUAGUC
rnacentral:rRNA from 1 species